rnacentral:snoRNA from 1 species
CUUGCACAUUAUUAAAGCCCAGAUUUUAGGCCAGUUUUGGACCAAUAAACUUCUGAGUGUCAGAAGUAGCUAUGUUGGCAGGAUUUUCACUAACACCAGUAGACCUUGCUUCUGUGACUGGAGUUUGAUAGUAAUCACUGCCAUAUGU